AUCUUUGCGCUUGGGGCAAUGACGCAGCUAGUGAGGUUCUAACCGAGGCGCGUCUAUUGCUGGUUGAAAACUAUUUCCAAACCCCCUCUUAGGCCUAGGUACAUCUUCGGCCUUCGAGAAUUUCUGGAAGGGCUCCUUUUGGUGUAAAGCC
rfam:Ricinus communis cultivar Hale ctg_1100012352735, whole genome shotgun sequence.